rnacentral:rRNA from 1 species
UGGUGGAGUGAUUUGUCUGGUUAAUUCCGAUAACGAACGAGACCCCGUCCUACUUACUAGACCGAGGAUCCUCUCGUUCUCGCUGUCUUCUUAGAGGGACAACUGCUUAUACCUCGAACUACAUGAAAUGGGGCAAUAACA